GACGAACGCUGGCGGCGUGCUUAACACAUGCAAGUCGAACGGUGAUGCUCCAGCUUGCUGGAGUGGAUCAGUGGCGAACGGGUGAGUAACACGUGAGCAACCUGCCCCAGACUCUGGAAUAAGCGCUGGAAACGGCGUCUAAUACUGGAUACGAAACUGGCCCGCAUGGGCAUGGUUUGGAAAGUUUUUCGGUUUGGGAUGGGCUCGCGGCCUAUCAGCUUGUUGGUGAGGUAAUGGCUCACCAAGGCGACGACGGGUAGCCGGCCUGAGAGGGCGACCGGCCACACUGGGACUGAGACACGGCCCAGACUCCUACGGGAGGCAGCAGUGGGGAAUAUUGCUCAAUGGGCGAAAGCCUGAUGCAGCGACGCCGCGUGAGGGAUGACGGCCUUCGGGUUGUAAACCUCUUUCAGCAGGGAAGAAGCGAAAGUGACGGUACCUGCAGAAGAAGCACCGGCUAACUACGUG
rnacentral:rRNA from 1 species